rnacentral:rRNA from 1 species
GACAGAGGCCACGAGCGUUAGGCGGAAUCACUGGGCUUAAAGCGUGUGUAGGCGGACCGUUAAGUGCCCGCGUGAAAUCCCCCGGCUCAACCGGGGAACGGCCGGGCAGACUGGCGGUCUUGGGCCACCCAGGGGCGACUGGAACAAGCGGUGGAGCGGUGAAAUGCGUAGAGAUCGGGAGGAACACCAGAGGCGAAGGCGGCCACCUGGACAAGCACUGACACUCAACUGCGAAAGCGUGGGGAGCAAACAGG